rnacentral:piRNA from 1 species
UUCUGGUGCUUUGGUAGCAGAUCUCCAUCU